AUUUUGGAGAGUUUGAUCCUGGCUCAGGGUAAACGCUAGCGGUGUGCUUUAGGCAUGCAAGUCGAACGACCCAGUACCAGCAAUGGUACUGGGAGUGGCGGACGGGUGAG
rnacentral:ncRNA from 1 species